GUGAUUUGUUUCAUGCAUUCCAGAAUGAGUUGUGCCGGAUGAAACUGGACCUGUCUGUACUUGAUGAGCUUGUUCGUGAGUAUUGCAUCUACAGAGGAAUCGUGGAUUCUGGUCGUGGAGCCCUCUCUGGGAUGCAGAAUGUCUCUAGUUCAUUGAAAGUUAAUCAAUCAGAGCUGGAGUAUUGUUCAUCAAGGAAUUGUUCUUUUGAAGUUGACUAUGCAACCAGUAAACUUUCGGAUGGUGAAAUUUCUGUCAGCAAUUCCCG
rnacentral:misc_RNA from 1 species